UUGGGGUCCAAAAUUAAACUUUGUUUGAUUUCAACAAAAAUUGAAUAUAUGGGGUUUUUUGAUAUGCUGAAUCUAACCAUGUAUUUAGAUUUUUUAUUUGUGGACCCCGCUAUCAAAUUGGUUCAUAUUGAGGUCAAAAGGGUCCAAAAUUAAACUUUGUUUGAUUUCAUCAAAAAUUGAAUUAUUGGGGUUCUUUGAUAUUCCAAAUCUAACCGUGUAUUUAGAUUUUUAAUUUUGGGUCCCGUUUUUUAAAUUGGUCUACAUUAAGGUCCAAAGGGUCCAAAAUUAAACUUAGUUUGAUUUUAACAAAAAUUGAAUUCUUGGGGUUCUUUGAUAUGCUGAAUCUAAACAUGUGUUUAGAUUUUUGAUUAUGGGCCCAGUUUUCAAGUUUGUCCAAGUUGGGGUCCAAAAUUAAACUUUGUUUGAUUUCAACAAAAAUUGAAUAUAUGGGGUCCUUUGAUAUGCUGAAUCUAACCAUGUAAUUUGAUUUUGGACAUUGUACCAUAAUAGGUAAAUUAAAAAAAUUCAAGUUCUUAGACCACAUUCUUUCUGUGUCAGAAACCUAUGCUGUGUCAAAUAUUUAAUCACAAUCCAAAUUCAGAGCUGUAUCAAGCUUGAAUGUUGUGUCCAUACUUGCCGCAACUGUUCAGGGUUCGACCUCUGCGGUCGUAUCAAGCUGCGCCCAGCGAAGCAUUUUAUUUCUUAAAAAUUGAUAUGUUAUUGAUAUAAAAUAAUCAUAGGGUCACUGACUUUGAUUUUGGUGCAUCUGUUAUCUAGUUGGUGUUGAAAAAAACCCUAAAAUCAACCUUUUAUAACUUAGAAAUGGGAUGACAUAAUGCUUAUUUCAACAUUUUGUGGUAUUUUUAUGCCCCCGCCUUAGCGAGGGGGCAUUAAGUUUUACCCUUGUCUGUCUGUACAUACGUACGUCCGAAAAUUGGUUUCCUUUCUCUAACUUUAGUUUGCCUCAAUCAAAUGUUAUGAAACUUAUACACAAUGCUUAUUACCACAAAACACAGAUCAAGUUUGAAUUUUGGUGGCGUCACUUUUACCAUUCUAGAGUUAUGCCCCUUUACAAACGGAAAAAUUGCUGAUUUUUUUCGUUUCUGUUCUCUAACUUUAGUUUACCUCAACCAAAUGUUAUGAAACUUAUGCACAAUGCUUAUUACCUCAAAACUCAGAUCAAGUUCAAAUUUGGGUAGCGUCACUUUUACUAUUCUUGAGUUGUGUCCCUUUAUAAUGUUAUAUGCAAGUGUGGGCAUCAUCUAUGUCCCAUGGACACAUACCCAUUUAUUUCCUCUACAAUACCACUGUGACUCUAUAAUUAUUAUUUUGCAUCUUUAAAAUGGUCAAUUAUGUAUAAACAACCUAUUAAUUUUUUCAAUUUUCAUUUUCAGUUCUACAAGCAUAAGUUGUAUGAAAUUUUUACAAAAAAAACUGUGACAUACAUGUAGCCCAUUUACUGUACCUCGACCUUAAAGUGUUGGUAAAAGUUUUAAAUUUAUUUAAAUUAAAAGAAAAAUAAACAUAAAUUAUAUGACAAAUAAAGUAAACAAGACUUUGAACCACUUCUAGAGGACUAGAUCAUGAUUGAUCAAAUCAAAAUGUAACUGUUAUUUAUAUUCUUUUGAGUUGACCAGGUGGGGAUGGAUAGGUGAAUCACCCUUCUGUCUUCUUGUAUAAAGCAUAACUCCUUCUUAAUGGUCAUCCUGAAUAUGCAUUUAAUUUGCCACUGGACGUUCAACAUCCAUCCAUCCAUCCUUCUAAAUGGUGAAGAAUAUCAAUAAAUCUUUAUACAAUGGAAGAAGACCAUUAAGAGAUGUGUAUGGAGCAAAAUAACUGUUGCCCAAAAUUUUAAAGGGGUUUUAUACAAUAAAGCUGAGUUCAAAGUUUGUUCUCAGGUCGGUUUCAUCUCUUAGAAGUUCAAUUGUCUUCAUCAUGACUUUGACAAUGGAUCCAUAUCAUAUUUGUGUUUGAUUUUAGUUUGAUAAUUUUAAUUUUGGUUUUUAUGUUUUAUACGCCCGUUUACCGGAAGUAUUAUGGUAUACCAUUGACCGUCUGUCCGUCCGUCAGUCGUCAACAUGUCGGACAUUAACUCAAAAAAGCUUUAACCAGUAUGUAUGAAACUUUAGUGAAUUGUUAAUAUCUAUUGACGUGAGCUCCCUUUCGUUUUUUUUAAAUUUCAGAUUUACCGUUUCCGAGUUUUGGGGUUUUAUUCAUUAAAAAAGGGGGAUUUUCCAGUUUUCCAACAAUAACUCAAGAAUGCUUUCACCAACUUGCAAGAAAUUUUAGUGAAUUGUUUAUAUCUAUUGACAUGAGCUCCCUUUUGGAUUUUUAUAAAUUUUAGAUUUUAUGUUUCCGAGUAACAGGGUUUUAUUUAUAAAAAAAGGGGGAUUUUCCAGUUUUCAGACAAUAUCUAAAAAAUGCUUUCAGCAGUUCUCAUGAAACUUUGGUGAAUUGUUUAUAUCUGUUGAUGUAAGCUCCCUUUAGAAUUUUAUAAAUUUUAUAUUUUACAUUUCUGAGUUAUGGGGUUUUAUUCAUUAAAAAAGGGGGGAUUUUCCAGUUUUUGGACAAUAACUCAAAAAUGCUUUCAGCAGUUCUCAUAAAACUUUGGUGAAUUGUUUAUAGCUAUUAAUGUAAUCUCCCUAUUGAUUUUCAUAAAUUUCAAAUAUGACAUUGAGAAUAAAUUGAACUUUAUUUGUUUAUAGUCUGACAACAGAUUUACUAAGUAUUGCACAACAGCACAGUGUAUUGCACAACAGCAAGAAAUCUUUAAUUUAAUAUAAAUUAAAUUCAUAUAACCAAUUUCAAGUUCUUUGAAUACAUUUAUUCAGAAACCUAAAAUAUGUCAAAUAUUUAAUUAAGUCUCCCAAACGAAGUUUGGGGAGACUUAUUGUUUUUGCUCAGUUCUUCUUCUUCUUCUUCUUCUUCUUCUUCUUCUUCUUCUUCUUCUUCUUCUUCUUCUUCUUCUUCUUCUUCUUCUUCUUCUUCUUCUUCUUCUUCUUCUUCUUCUUCUUCUUCUUCUUCUUCUUCUUCUUCUUCUUUGUGAUAGACACAAUCUUCUUCUUCUUCUUCUCUUCUUCUUUGUGAUAGACACAAUCUUUUUAAUUGAAAAUGUUCUAAAUGAUAAGGCCCAUUAAAUGGAAUACAGGGUUAGUCCCCAGGGGUCACCCCCACCCCCUGUCAUUUAAGAAAGUUCUAAUACCUUGUAAGUGGUCAAGAUCCCCACCCCUAAACCAUAUAUAUUUUGGUUUGUCAUGCUAAGAUGGUUUGAAUGAUAUACAGUGUUAGUCCCCAGGGGUCAUCCCGACCCCCUGCCAUUUGAGAAAGUUCUAAUAUCUUGUAAAUGGUAGAGAUCCCCACCCCUAAACCAUAUAUAUUCUGGUUUGUCAUGAUAAAGCACAUCAAAUGUAAUACAGGGUUACUCCCCAGGGGUCACCCCACCCCCUGCCAUUUAAGAAAGUUCUAAUAUCUUGUAAGUGGUCAAGAUCCCCACCCCUAAACCAUACAUAUUCUGGUUUGUCAUGCUAAGAUGGUUUGAAUGAUAUACAGGGUUAGUCCCUAGGGGUCAUCCCGACCCCCUACCAUUUGAGAAAGUUCUAAUAUCUUGUAAAUGGUCGAGAUCCCCACCCCUUAACCAUAUAUAUUCUGGUUUGUCAUGAUAAAGCACAUCAAAUGAAAUACAGGGUUAGUCCCAAGGGGUCACCCCCACCCCAUGCCAUUUAAAAAAGUUCUAAUGUCUUGUAAGUGGUCAAGAUCCCCACCCCUAAACCAUAUAUAUUCUGGUUUGUCAUGAUAAAGCACAUCAAAUGAAAUACAGGGUUAGUCCCAAGGGGUCACCCCCACCCCCUGCCAUUUAAGAAAGUUCUAAUAUCUUGUAAGUGGUCAAGAUCCCCACCCCUAAACCAUAUAUAUUUUGGUUUGUCAUGCGAAGAUGGUUUGAAUGAUAUACAGGGUUAGUCCCCAGGGGUCAUCCCGACCCCCUGCCAUUUGAGAAAAUUCUAAUAUCUUGUAAAUGGUCGAGAUCCCCACCCCUAAACCAUAUACAUUCUGGUUUGUCAUGCCAAGAUGAUUUGAAUGACGUAUAGGGUCAGUCCCCAGGGGUUCCCCAAAUCCCCAAUGUUCUAAUAUUUUGUAAAUGGUCGAGAUCCCCACCCCUAAACCAUAUAUAUUCCUGUUCGUCAUGUCUCGAACAUUUGAAUGACGUAUAGGGUCAGUCCCCAGGGGUUCCCCAACCUCCAAUGUUCUAGUAUCUUGUAAAUGGUCGAGAUCCCCACCCCUAACCCAUAUACAUUCUGGUUUGUCAUGCCAAGAUGAUUUGAAUGACGUAUAGGGUCAGUCCCCAGGGGUUCCCCCACCCCCAAUGUUCUAGUAUCUUGUAAAUGGUCGAGAUCCCCACCCCUAAACCAUAUACAUUCUGGUAUGUCAUGCCAAGAUGAUUUGAAUGAUAUACAGGGUUAGUCCACAGGCAUCACUAAUGCAUAUAACUUUACUGGACCAAACCAAUUUUCACUGGACUUCGCCCAAUGUCAGGCGACCCUGGGAAUUACGAAUUAUGGGAGCUUCGUUUGGGAGACUUCGUAACAGCAUCCUGUUACAAUCAUUUCUUGUUACAAUCCAAAUUCAGACCUGUAUCAAGCUUGAAUAUUGUGUCCAUUUUUGCCCCAACUGUUCAGGGUUGGACCUCUGUGGGCGUAUCCAGCUGCGCUCAGCGAAGCAGUUUAUUUUGCAAUAUUGUCAUAGUCCAUAUUCUUACCAGAGAUUUAAAAACUUAAUAGUUAUUUACAGUCUAAAUCAUCUUUAUUACAUUGUCUAGGAAUUUAUUAAUUUAUAGCCGUUUUUGUAUUAAUAUAAAACCACAUAGGUUGGGUUUUUGAACUGUAUUUUAGAGUAUGCCUGUUAAAACAUAGUCAAAGAGACACAAAUAAAAUACUCAUGGAAAA